rnacentral:rRNA from 1 species
AUGAACGCUGGCGGCGUGCCUAAUACAUGCAAGUCGAGCGAACGGACGAGAAGCUUGCUUCUCUGAUGUUAGCGGCGGACGGGUGAGUAACACGUGGAUAACCUACCUAUAAGACUGGGAUAACUUCGGGAAACCGUAGCUAAUACCGGAUAAUAUUUUGAACCGCAUGGUUCAAAAGUGAAAGACGGUCUUGCUGUCACUUAUAGAUGGAUCCGCGCUGCAUUAGCUAGUUGGUAAGGUAACGGCUUACCAAGGCAACGAUGCAUAGCCGACCUGAGAGGGUGGUCGGCCACACUGGAACUGAGACACGGUCCAGACUCCUACGGGAGGCAGCAGUAGGGAAUCUUCCGCAAUGGGCGAAAGCCUGACGGAGCAACGCCGCGUGAGUGAUGAAGGUCUUCGGAUCGUAAAACUCUGUUAUUAGGGAAGAACAUAUGUGUAAGUAACUGUGCACAUCUUGACGGUACCUAAUCAGAAAGCCACGGCUAACUACGUG